GGCGCACGGGUGAGUAACACGUAUCCAACCUGCCGAUAACUCGGGGAUAGCCUUUCGAAAGAAGGAUUAAUACCCGAUAGUAUAAUGAAACCGCAUGGUCUUAUUAUUAAAGAAUUUCGGUUAUCGAUGGGGAUGCGUUCCAUUAGGCAGUUGGUGAGGUAACGGCUCACCAAACCUUCGAUGGAUAGGGGUUCUGAGAGGAAGGUCCCCCACAUUGGAACUGAGACACGGUCCAAACUCCUACGGGAGGCAGCAGUGAGGAAUAUUGGUCAAUGGGCGCAGGCCUGAACCAGCCAAGUAGCGUGAAGGAUGACUGCCCUAUGGGUUGUAAACUUCUUUUAUAUGGGAAUAAAGUUUUCCACGUGUGGAAUUUUGUAUGUACCAUAUGAAUAAGGAUCGGCUAACUCCGUGCCAGCAGCCGCGGUAAUACGGAGGAUCCGAGCGUUAUCCGGAUUUAUUGGGUUUAAAGGGAGCGUAGGUGGACAGUUAAGUCAGUUGUGAAAGUUUGCGGCUCAACCGUAAAAUUGCAGUUGAUACUGGCUGUCUUGA
rnacentral:rRNA from 1 species